rnacentral:rRNA from 1 species
GACGAACGCUGGCGGCGUGCUUAACACAUGCAAGUCGAACGGAAAGGCCCCUUCGGGGGUACUCGAGUGGCGAACGGGUGAGUAACACGUGGGUGAUCUGCCCCCAACUUUGGGAUAAGCCUGGGAAACUGGGUCUAAUACCGGAUAUGACCACAUUUCGCAUGGGGUGUGGUGGAAAGCUUUUGCGGUUGGGGAUGGGCCCGCGGCCUAUCAGCUUGUUGGUGGGGUAAUGGCCUACCAAGGCGACGACGGGUAGCCGACCUGAGAGGGUGAUCGGCCACACUGGGACUGAGACACGGCCCAGACUCCUACGGGAGGCAGCAGUGGGGAAUAUUGCACAAUGGGCGGAAGCCUGAUGCAGCGACGCCGCGUGAGGGAUGACGGCCUUCGGGUUGUAAACCUCUUUCACCAGGGACGAAGCGUGAGUGACGGUACCUGGAGAAGAAGCACCGGCCAACUACGUGCCAGCCGCCGCAGUAACAC